CCUAAGGUGAUCGAGAGAACUCUCGUUAAGGAACUCGGCAAAAUGACCCCGUAACUUCGGGAGAAGGGGUGCUCUGUUAGGGUGCAAGCCCGAGAGAGCCGCAGUGAAUAGGCCCAGGCGACUGUUUAGCAAAAACACAGGUCUCUGCGAAGCCGUAAGGCGAAGUAUAGGGGCUGACGCCUGCCCGGUGCUGGAAGGUUAAGAGGAGCGCUUAGCGUAAGCGAAGGUGCGAAUUGAAGCCCCAGUAAACGGCGGCCGUAACGAUAACGGUCCUAAGGUAGCGGAAUUCCUUGUCGGGUAAGUUCCGACCCGCACGAAAGGCGCAACGAUCUGGGCACUGUCUCAACGAGAGACUCGGUGAAAUUAUAGUACCUGUGAAGAUGCAGGUUACCCGCGACAGGACGGAAAGACCCCGUGGAGCUUUACUGCAGCCUGAUAUUGAAUGUUGGAACAGCUUGUACAGGAUAGGUAGGAGCCUUGGAAACCGGAGCGCCAGCUUCGGUGGAGGCAUCGGUGGGAUACUACCCUGGCUGUAUUGACCUUCUAACCCGCCGCCCUUAUCGGGCGGGGAGACAGUGUCAGGUGGGCAGUUUGACUGGGGCGGUCGCCUCCUAAAAGGUAACGGAGGCGCCCAAAGGUUCCCUCAGAAUGGUUGGAAAUCAUUCGCAGAGUGUAAAGGCACAAGGGAGCUUGACUGCGAGACCUACAAGUCGAGCAGGGACGAAAGUCGGGCUUAGUGAUCCGGUGGUUCCGCAUGGAAGGGCCAUCGCUCAACGGAUAAAAGCUACCCCGGGGAUAACAGGCUUAUCUCCCCCAAGAGUCCACAUCGACGGGGAGGUUUGGCACCUCGAUGUCGGCUCAUCGCAUCCUGGGGCUGUAGUCGGUCCCAAGGGUUGGGCUGUUCGCCCAUUAAAGCGGUACGCGAGCUGGGUUCAGAACGUCGUGAGACAGUUCGGUCCCUAUCCGUCGCGGGCGCAGGAAAUUUGAGAGGAGCUGUCCUUAGUACGAGAGGACCGGGAUGGACGCACCUCUGGUGUACCAGUUGUUCUGCCAAGGGCAUCGCUGGGUAGCUAUGUGCGGACGGGAUAAGUGCUGAAAGCAUCUAAGCAUGAAGCCCCCCCUCAAGAUGAGAUUUCCCAUUCCGCAAGGAAGUAAGAUCCCUGAAAGAUGAUCAGGUUGAUAGGUCUGAGGUGGAAGUGUGGCGACACAUGGAGCUGACAGAUACUAAUCGAUCGAGGACUUAACC
rnacentral:rRNA from 1 species